GCCUGGAGAAUCCCAUGGACAGAGGAGCCUGGCGGGCUACAGUCCAUGGGGUCGCUCAGAGUUGGACACGACUGAAGUAACAACACACACAAGAGAAAGAAGCCAAUCUGAAAAGACUACGAACUCUGUGACGUUCUCAAAAAGGCAAAUAUGGACACAGUAAAAAGGCAAGCUGUGCUUUGGUGACGAGCCAAGGAAAAUAUCCACUGAAUACAAACCAGGCUCCCAGAACAUGUCCAGCGAAGUGCACAGGAAACACUCUGUCCUCCACGAGCGACCGCUGAAGGCAGCCUCUCCUCUCUGCUUCCUCGAGGCCCCAGCCGCAGCAUCAAAAGGUACAUGAAAAUGCUCCUGGAAGCAACAUGGCAGCAUCGCACGGCACUCAAGACGCCAGGAGGCCUGUUUCCAGGCCGGCUUACCCCAGCCUUGCCUCAACUUCCAUCAGCCGCUCUCUCUGGGAAAGUUUCCUGCCCGGAGCUGCAUUUCCGCCCCCUCCAGGAGGGCACCGUUUCUCGGAUCAUCUUUCUGUAACAGUUGUGUCUCCUCCUGAGCUGCCUCAAAACAAAGCUGUGGGCUCUGAUGCCCUCACAGGGACAGAACAGAAAUGUAUUAUCUCGGUUCUGGAGGCCAGAUGUCCAAACUCUGGGUGUCAGCAGGGCCCCACCCCCUUGAAGCCCUCGGGGAUCCUCUCACCCCUGUGGCUCCUGCUGCUGUUCCUUGGCUUGCGGGGGCUUGUCUCCAACCCACUGGCUUCACGUGGAGGACUGUGUGUCUCCCGUGUUCACACUGUCCUCCCACUGCGUGUGUGCUUAUCACUGUGUUCGUGAAAUACAGCUAGGACUUAUAUAUUUUUAAUAUAUCAUAUGCACCUACUGUUUCAGAGACUUUUCUGGAAGUCUCCAGGAAACAGACUUUUUCCUCCUGAACACA